UAUCUCUGUAGAGUCUGCAUAUCAAUAAGCGGAGGAAAAGCUAAACGCAUAUGCUGCAAAGUUCCUUCCUCCAAUACAACUGCACGAAUGAAGUGUGUGUCGCAGACAUCCUUUCCCUUCUUGCGGGAAAUGGAGCAUACGAAGUGGUCUUGUCUGGUUUCAAAACUGUUGCUGGUACAGUAGUACAAUUUCUCACCGCAAUCAGCACAACGAGCGAUACCGGAAAACAUAUUGGUCUUGCCUGUUCGGGUAGGUCUGCGCUUGUUUUUGCGAAGCUCCUGCACACGGGCAAAGGUAUCUUCAUCAACAAUGGCUUCGUGGGUGUUCUCGAAAAUCUUCCAUUGGUCGGGAGGGUUUUCGAGUUUCUUUUUGCUCUUGUACGACAGCUUGCGGGUCUUGAAGUUGACCAUGUGACCAAGGUAUUCCUGCUUCUCCAGUAUGCCGGUGAUGGUGCGUGGUGCCCAUGCGUAAAGGUCAUCGGGUAUGUUGGCAGGAGCAUCUCUUCCCAUCUUCAUCCGAUGAACCGUAGGACAAUCCACCUUUGCUUCCUUCAGCUUCUUGGCGAUCUGAGAGGGGCCGAAGCCCUCCAUGCACCAAGCGAAGAUUUGACGGACAACGGCUGCGGCUUCAUCGUCCACAAUCCAAUGUCUCUUUGGAUUGUCGGGGUCUUUCAUAUAGCCGUAGGGCGGGUUGGUGGUCAGAUACUCACCGGAUUCGCCUUUCUGCUUCAUGGAUGCCUUGACCUUUUUACUGCUGUCCUUAACAUAAAACUCAUUCAUAAUGUUCAGGAACGGAGUAAAGUCGUUGUCAAUUUGAUUGGCACUGUCCACGCCGCUGUUCACGGCAAUGAAGCGGACAUUGUGUUCAGGGAAGAGAAUUUCCGUGUAGAUGCCGACUUCCAAAUAGUUUCUGCCGAUACGGCUCAUGUCUUUGGCGAGAAUGAUACCAACUUUAUCAUUCUCCACCAGUUCAAUCAUGCGCUGCCAGUCGGGUCUUUUGAAGUUAGCCCCGGAGUACCCGUCAUCCACGAAAAACUGGAUAUUUUUGAAACCUUGUUCUUUAGCGUACCUUUUGAGAAUCGCCUUUUGAGACGGGAUUUGUCAAGGGGACUUUCUUCAAAACGCAUAAAAUUGUUCAUGGGCAGGUUUUUUCUCCUGCCCAUGACAUUGUAAUUACCAAUCAAGCUUAUCCCAUUUCGUGGAAUUCAGCGUAGUUAUUGUACCUGUUUCAUCUCCCAUAAGUUCCCGGAUCGCAUAUUCCGCUUCAUCCGCAUAAUAUCUGCGCCGUUCCUCGUUCAGCAGAAGAUAUGGGUAUCCACUGAACUGAAUGUACUGAUUUCCUUCAUAGUCUGCAAUGGUGUCCUCAUGGUAUUGAUUCAGAUAAAAUAGGCAAUCUCUGGACGCAAAGAACACAUUGUUGCGAACAACUGCUCCCUCCUGUAGAUUCGGACCGCCAUCUACCGCAAAGGCGCAGGAUGUGUUCUUACUAAGCCAAUCAUUCAAGCCGGUGAAUAAGACCAUAUUAUCUUCGUAAAUCAGAUUUUUGAACAUCAUCUCGGGAUUUCGUUCCAUGUCCCAGUUAAAAUAUCCAAGGCCGGAACCUACAUGAUAAAUCAAAUUUUCAGCGAUUAAAACAUCCUUGAUGAUAAGAUCAUCCGUGUAUGCUUUCUGACUUUCAAAAAUCUCAACCAAUGCAGCUUCUACAUAAAUUUCAUGGAUAUAGUUGUUGCGAAUUGUCAUAUCAUCCGCAUGGCUACCAAUCGCACCGCCUACCCGAAGGGCACCACGGGGAUUUCCGUCGUGAUCCUCAAAGGAAUAAGAAAUAAUUAGCCCACCAAUCCAUGCCAUUUCGCAGUUUUGCACUGUAAGGCCAGCAUUACCUACGCUUAGGAUGUUGACUGAUAUGUAGUCGUA
rnacentral:rRNA from 1 species